rnacentral:lncRNA from 1 species
UUACGGUUAGGCCACGCCCCCUACGUGAUGAGGGUGCGUGGGUGGGAUGGGCCCUCCCCCCUCCCCUCCCCUCCCCGGUAAAUACCCCAGGGGUAGACCAGACGUACCUACUACCUCCGUUCGAGAGCCACAAUCCAAUCAGUCAUCGAGGCCCCCAGAGCGCAUGCGCACACCCGCGCCAGCGCCACCACCUGGCUCCGCGUGACGUAAAUGAAAGAAAAUCUCCCGACACAAGUGGAUUAGUGGGAGUUGGGAGGGGACGGGCAUCAGGUCGGUCCCGCGCGCGCUUCUGCCUGCUUCCAGCCGCGUGGACGGUGAAGGUGAGACAGGUCCGCCGCUGCUGUCAGAACUUCAGAAGAAGAAGAAGAAGAAGAAGAAGAGGAAGAGGAGGAGGAAGAGGAGGAGGACAUGGACAGAAGGAAGCCCCAAAGAAAGUGAAGCUUCCCCGCCAGGAGCCGCAGGAUGGGGAUGGACCUCAGCGCCCUGCGGAGCCUCAUCAGCCGCAUCAACCGAUACGAAUCCGCCCUUCUGCUGACGCUGGUCUCAUGGGGAGCACAUGA